rnacentral:rRNA from 1 species
GGUGAACGCUGCGGCGUGCCUAAUACAUGCAAGUCGAGCGAACAGACGAGGAGCUUGCUCCUCUGACGUUAGCGGCGGACGGGUGAGUAACACGUGGAUAACCUACCUAUAAGACUGGGAUAACUUCGGGAAACCGGAGCUAAUACCGGAUAAUAUAUUGAACCGCAUGGUUCAAUAGUGAAAGACGGUUUUGCUGUCACUUAUAGAUGGAUCCGCGCCUCAUUAGUUAGUUGGUAAGGUACCGGCUUACCAAGGCAGCGAAGCGUAGCCUACCUGAGAGGAUGGCUGGCCAGCCUGGGAGGGUGACCCGGGCCACGUUCCUAGGGGCAGCACCAAUAGGGAAUCGUCCGGAAUGGGUGGGAGCCUUUCGACGCUAUGCCGCCUGAUGGUGGAGCGUCUUCGGGUGCUAAAACUCUGCUAUCAGGGAAGAAACAAUUUGUUAAUGAGUAUGCACGUCUUGACGGUACCUAGUCAGAAAGCCACGGCUAACUACGUG